AUUGAACGCUGGCGGCAGGCCUAACACAUGCAAGUCGAGCGGAUGAAGGGAGCUUGCUCCUGGAUUCAGCGGCGGACGGGUGAGUAAUGCCUAGGAAUCUGCCUGGUAGUGGGGGAUAACGUCCGGAAACGGGCGCUAAUACCGCCUACGUCCUGAGGGAGAAAGUGGGGGAUCUUCGGACCUCACGCUAUCAGAUGAGCCUAGGUCGGAGUAGCUAGUUGGUGGGGUAAAGGCCUUCCAAGGCGACGAUCCGUAACUGGUCUGAGAGGAUGAUCAGUCACACUGGAACGGAGACACGGUCCAGAGUCCUACGGGAGGGAGCAGUGGGGAAUAGGGGACAAUGGGCGAAAGCCUGAUACAGCCAUGCCGCGUGUGUGAAGAAGGUCUUCGGAGUGUAAAGCACUUUAAGUUGGGAGGAAGGGCAGUAAGUUAAUACCUUGCUGUUUUGACGUUACCAACAGAAUAAGCACCGGCUAACUUCGUG
rnacentral:rRNA from 1 species